AACCAGUACCGUGAGGGAAAGGCGAAAAGAACCCCGGGAGGGGAGUGAAAUAGAUCCUGAAACCGCAUGCAUACAAACAGUGGGAGCCUCCUUGAGGGGUGACUGCGUACCUUUUGUAUAAUGGGUCAGCGACUUACGUUCAGUGGCGAGCUUAACCGAAUAGGGGAGGCGUAGCGAAAGCGAGUCUGAUAAGGGCGACAUAGUCUCUGGGCGUAGACCCGAAACCAGAUGAGCUAUCCAUGGCCAGGAUGAAGGUGCGGUAACACGCACUGGAGGUCCGAACCCACUAAUGUUGAAAAAUUAGGGGAUGAGCUGUGGAUAGGGGUGAAAGGCCAAACAAAUCUGGAAAUAGCUGGUUCUCCCCGAAAACUAUUUAGGUAGUGCGUCGUGCGGACACUUGCGGGGGUAGAGCACUGUCAUCGUUGGGGGGGUCAUUGCGAUUUACCCCGCGAUAGCAAACUCCGAAUACCGCAAAGUGAUACACGGCAGACAGACAGCGGGUGCUAACGUCCGUUGUCAAGAGGGAAACAACCCAGACCGCCAGCUAAGGUCCCAAAUGCAUGGCUAAGUGGCAAACGAAGUGGGAAGGCCCAGACAGCUAGGAGGUUGGCUUAGAAGCAGCCAUCCUUUAAAGAAAGCGUAAUAGCUCACUAGUCGAGUCGUCCUGCGCGGAAGAUGUAACGGGGCUCAAGCCAUGAACCGAAGCUGCGGAUGCGUGCUUGCACGCAUGGUAGGGGAGCGUUCUGUACGCCUGCGAAGGUCUCUCGUAAGGGGGGCUGGAGGUAUCAGAAGUGCGAAUGCUGACAUGAGUAGCGAUAAAGCGGGUGAAAAGCCCGCUCGCCGAAAACCCAAGGUUUCCUGCGCAACGUUCAUCGGCGCAGGGUGAGUCGGCCCCUAAGGCGAGGCAGAAAUGCGUAGUCGAUGGGAAACAGGUCAAUAUUCCUGUACCGCUCUUUAAUGCGAUGGGGGGACGGAGAAGGUUAGGCCAGCCGGGUGUUGGAUGUCCCGGUUCAAGCGUGUAGUCGUGCCUGGUAGGCAAAUCCGCCGGGCUAAGACGAGGCGUGAUAACGAGGGCUCAUUGAGCCUGAAGUGGUCAAUACCCUGCUUCCAGGAAAAGCCUCUAAGCUUCAGUUAAAGAGUGACCGUACCGCAAACCGACACAGGUGGGUAGGUAGAGAAUACCAAGGCGCUUGAGAGAACUCAGGAGAAGGAACUCGGCAAAUUGACACCGUAACUUCGGGAGAAGGUGUGCCUCUUGUAUGUGACGCCCCUUGCGGGUUGAGCAGAAGGGGGCCGCAGAGAAUCGGUGGCUGCGACUGUUUAUUAAAAACACAGCACUGUGCAAACACGAAAGUGGACGUAUACGGUGUGACGCCUGCCCGGUGCCGGAAGGUUAAGUGAUGGGGUGCAAGCUCUUGAUCGAAGCCCCGGUAAACGGCGGCCGUAACUAUAACGGUCCUAAGGUAGCGAAAUUCCUUGUCGGGUAAGUUCCGACCUG
rnacentral:rRNA from 1 species